GCGUUGCCACCCUCCACCGCACUGAGCUCCCCUCUCGCGUUGCCCUCUUCAAUCGCGCCUCAGCGGGCGCGUCCUCCCUCAUGUUGCCCUCUACCAUACUGCCGCGACACCAGCCAUCGUAGGCACGGUCAUUGAAGCUCGCCACUAGGAAGCUGUGCGAAGGCCUCCUCCCUGCUCGUCACCGAGAUUGUUGCGAUGCUCUCCCUGACUGACGCCCACUAACACGGUAAUCUCCUCUUUGCAGUGCUGUUUCAAUUUUUAUGUUCUUCGUGCCAAUAACUUUCCAGGUUUAAAUAAAAGUGUGCUGAAUAUUUUGUAUUUCUUUUUUAAAUAUGUUGGAGUUUCUUUUUCAUGAGGUUGAAUGUUUAAUUUACUCAUGCUGAAUUUUUUUUCAUGGAUGAGACUUACAUAAACUAUUAUUUUGUGGCUUUGAGAAGACCAAAGCUUUUGGGAUGUUAUUGAAGAAGAGUCAAGGUCUUUGGGUCCUCUUUGGGUCCUCUUGUUCUACUCUAUAGAGUAUGUUUGUGUGAUACCUAGGAUUUAGAUGUUCUUUCAUUUUGGAAACUGAGCACCAUGGAAACUAAGCUCAGCACUACAAGAAGGGAUUUUGCAGCAGAAAUUUUUGGCUCUUCUGCUAAGCCUAGAUCAAUCAGGGCUCAAGCUUCUUCUGGUUUUUCUUAUAUUGCUUAUUUAUGCCUUUGAUUUAUUUGGUUUAUUAGAUAUAUUCUGAGAUAUCUAUAAAGUUCAUCAAUGAUAUGUGAACUAUGAGGUGGUUGAUUUUGAUUUGCAUAUACACAUGUAUAUUAGAUAUACGUGAUUUUCAUUUUCAUACCUAGACUGCUAACUUGAUAUCUGAUUUUAUUGUUAAAUUACAGCAAAGAUUCAUAUUGCAAUAGAAAAGAUGAUUUGUUGGAUAAAUGGGCAUGUUUGACAAUAUAAAAAUAGAAAUUAAUGCAUCGUAAUCAUGGAUCAAUUUAUGGCUUUGAUUUUGAUUCAUUAUUUUUAUAUAGUUUUUCACUAUUUGAAAUUGCUAUGUUGUCAUAGACGGUAGGUUGUCUAACAUCUUUAAAUUGAGACACAAUUCUGCAUUUUAUUGUGUUGUUUUUGUUGAGUAUUUAUAUUCUACGUUGCAGGAUGAAAUAUGUAAAUCCAUUUCUAAAAUAGGUGGUAUUGAUGCAAUACUCAAAUGUAUAGAGGACAGUGGUGAGCAACACAAUAAAGUUGUGGCCAAAGUGUGUUGCUCAUUACUUUCGAAGUUGGCAAGAAAUGAUACAAAUAACAGUAAAAUUGUUGGAAAAGGUGGGAUGGAUAAGCUAAUUAAACUUUCAGCCGGGUUUAAUGAUGAUCCUUCGGUUUUGCAAUAGAGACUCUUACAAAAAAGGUUUCCUGAUAUACUUGGAUUUGUACCAUAUCUUGCAUCUCAAAGCAUAAUAGAAAUGGCGGAGAGGACAGAAGCUAUCAGUGAAAAUACAAUUGUUUCUUCUUCAAGUCCAAGAGUUUUGAGAAUUGGGGUGCUGUUUACUUUGAAUUUCGUCAUUGGAAGAUCAGUAAAAGCCACAGCCACCUAUUGAAAAUCCUUUUCUGAAGACCCUUAAGAGAACAAAGUCUGGAAAUGUUGUAGGAUCAAUAAGGGUGUUGAAUGAUGUGGGCGAGCUUAACAAGUUGCAUAGGGAUUGAGAUAUAUCAUAUACUAUACUUUAAGCCGUUUAAACGAUGUUCAUUUUACUAUAAUUACAGAUGGUUCUAUCCAUUCUAAAGUGAAUGGUUAUUUUGGUUAUACUAUUUGUAGUACAAUUUAUUACCCUGUUGUGUUAAUGUAAACAAAAAAAUUAAAAGAAAAAAUAAAAUA